rnacentral:tRNA from 1 species
GGGCCAUUAGCUCAGUUGGUUAGAGCGCGGUCCUGAUAAGACCGAGGUCCCUGGUUCGAGACCAGGAUGGCCCACCA